rnacentral:rRNA from 1 species
GACGAACGCUGGCGGCGUGCUCAACACAUGCAAGUCGAGCGGUAAGGCCCUUUCGGGGGUACACGAGCGGCGAACGGGUGAGUAACACGUGGGUGACCUGCCCUCAGCUCUGGGAUAAGCCUGGGAAACCGGGUCUAAUACCGGAUAUGACUCCAUGACGCAUGUUGUGGGGUGGAAAGCCUUGUGCGGCUGGGGAUGGGCCCGCGGCCUAUCAGCUUGUUGGUGGGGUGAGGCCUACCAAGGCGACGACGGGUAGCCGGCCUGAGAGGGCGACCGGCCACACCGGGACUGAGACACGGCCCAGACUCCUACGGGAGGCAGCAGUGGGGAAUCUUGCGCAAUGGGCGAAAGCCUGACGCAGCGACGCCGCGUGAGGGAUGACGGCCUGG